AGGGUUCGAUUCUGGCUCAGGAUGAACGCUGGCGGCGUGCUUAACACAUGCAAGUCGAACGGGAUCCCAGGAGCUUGCUCCUGGGUGAGAGUGGCGAACGGGUGAGUAAUGCGUGACCGACCUGCCCCAUACACCGGAAUAGCUCCUGGAAACGGGUGGUAAUGCCGGAUGCUCCAGUUGGAUGCAUGUCCUUCUGGGAAAGAUUCUAUCGGUAUGGGAUGGGGUCGCGUCCUAUCAGGUAGUCGGCGGGGUAACGGCCCACCGAGCCUACGACGGGUAGCCGGCCUGAGAGGGCGACCGGCCACAUUGGGACUGAGAUACGGCCCAGACUCCUACGGGAGGCAGCAGUGGGGAAUAUUGCACAAUGGGCGCAAGCCUGAUGCAGCGACGCCGCGUGCGGGAUGACGGCCUUCGGGUUGUAAACCGCUUUUGAUUGGGAGCAAGCCCUUCGGGGUGAGUGUACCUUUCGAAUAAGCACCGGCUAACUACGUGCCAGCAGCCGCGGUAAUACGUAGGGUGCAAGCGUUAUCCGGAAUUAUUGGGCGUAAAGGGCUCGUAGGCGGUUCGUCGCGUCCGGUGUGAAAGUCCAUCGCUUAACGGUGGAUCCGCGCCGGGUACGGGCGGGCUUGAGUGCGGUAGGGGAGACUGGAAUUCCCGGUGUAACGGUGGAAUGUGUAGAUAUCGGGAAGAACACCAAUGGCGAAGGCAGGUCUCUGGGCCGUCACUGACGCUGAGGAGCGAAAGCGUGGGGAGCGAACAGGAUUAGAUACCCUGGUAGUCCACGCCGUAAACGGUGGAUGCUGGAUGUGGGGACCAUUCCACGGUCUCCGUGUCGGAGCCAA
rnacentral:rRNA from 1 species